rnacentral:piRNA from 1 species
UUUGGAGUAGUACAUAGCUAGAAG